ensembl:ncRNA sisRNA:CR46363 stable intronic sequence RNA CR46363
UCCAGAUCCCAUGAACGGAUUAGGUUUCCACAUCCCUGUCGCUGGGUUUUUUGGCAUUCCUAUGGAUUUGCAAACAACUGAGCCAGCCAGCCAGCCAGCAGCGAACCGAUCGGAUUUCACAAAUAUUGUAAAACGAGAGUCCAUAUGGUUGUAAAGGCGGUAAGUGCAUUUCCGUUGCGAGUGCACAGGUACAGGUGUGUUGAC